AUGUAGAUUGUCUGAGCAGCAACCAAGUGCAUUGAACCCUGUAAACCCCCACCCCCUACUGUGCCCAGCUACGGUCCGGGAGCAGCACAGGAGGUUGAAGGGAGCAGUAAGCGAUCAUGUAUGUAGCCAAAGUCGGUCCCAACUAGGUUGUAAGUUUGAGGAGCUAUAAAUGAUGCCAUUUACUGCAAGCAGCGCAGUUAGAGCACUGCAGUGCUGAUUUCUUCUAUACUGUUCUAUGGGCUCAGAAUUCUCUUAGUCAUGUCGAAGUGAUGAGUCACUAUGGACUGUCAGCGUGCCAUGAUACUUGCGAGGACGCCCAUUCGAGCGAUUAAUUGUGAGGGAAGCGGUCGUUGUCCGGUACAACCACGUGAUCAGUGCGCUGUGGUGGUGCUGACAUUAAUUGACCAUCCACUUUUCGAGACAGAAACUCUGCUGGAGCCAUGUUGAUGGGUUGUCAUUGAUGGAUUGUUGUGCUGGAGCUUUCUUUACGAAUGGGCUUGCAAUCAUGAAUCUCACAUCAGUUUUUUGGCUUCUGACUGAGGCUUUGUGAUGAAACUCAGUAAGCAUCUAAGAUUGCGAUCGCUGAUAUGUCAUGGAGCUCGGUAGCUGAACGAAGUUUGAGUGGUUGACUGUAUUUCGUGUGAACCCAUGUGUGCAUUGUAGAUGGCUGUUGGUUGUAGCCAUGUACUGAUUGAGUUCCUUGAAUUGCCGUAUGGAUUGGUUGAGGUUUCCAACAGCGAAAAUCUGUAGGAAUACAUGGAAAACGAGUGUGUCAAGAGCUGGUGAGAAGCAAUGGAGGAGCAAUGUGAAGGGAAAACACAAAGUAACACCAAAUAGCAAUUGGGUUCAGCAUUAGGGUUUACUGUUCUGGUGAAGAAUUUUGCAAGGAAUUUCAAAAUAUGGCUUUGAAGUGUAUACCCUUCUGCCUUGUGUUUCUGAUUCCUUUGUUGCCUUCCCUUGUCUCAAUCACUUUUUGACUUCCACUGUA